UCGGGAAUUUUGCCCAAUGGACGAAAGUCUGAGGCAGCAACUCCGCGUGAGGGAUGAAGGCUCUAGGGUCGUAAACCUCUUUUUCAGGGAAGCGGUACCUGAGGAAUAAGCCACGGCUAACUACGUGCCAGCAGCCGCGGUAAUACGUAGGUGGCAAGCGUUGUCCGGAUUUACUGGGCGUAAAGAGCGCGCAGGCGGCUGGUCAAGUCCGAUGUGAAAUCUCCCGGCUCAACUGGGAAACUGCAUCGGAAACUGAUCGGCUUGAAGGUGGGAGAGGGUAGUGGAAUUCCCGGUGUAGUGGUGAAAUGCGUAGAUAUCGGGAGGAACACCAGUGGCGAAGGCGACUACCUGGCCCAUUCUUGACGUUGAGGCGCGAAAGCUAGGGGAGCGAACGGGAUUAGAUACCCUAGUAGU
rnacentral:rRNA from 1 species